GAUGAACGCUGGCGGCGUGCCUAAUACAUGCAAGUCGAGCGAACGGACGAGAAGCUUGCUUCUCUGAUGUUAGCGGCGGACGUGUGAGUAACACGUGGAUAACCUACCUAUAAGACUGGGAUAACUUCGGGAAACCGGAGCUAAUCCCGUAUAAUAUUUUGAACCGCAUGGUUCAAAAGUGAAAGACGGUCUUGCUGUCACUUAUAGAUGGAUCUGCGCUGCAUUAGCUAGUUGGUAAGGUAACGGCUUACCACGGCAAGGAUGCAUAGCCGACCUGAGAGGGGGAUCGGCCACACGAGAGCGUAGACACGGUCAGUAGUCCUACGAGAGGCCGCAGUAGGGAAUCGUACGCAGUGGGCGAAAGCCUGACGGAGCAACGCCGCGUGAGUGAUGAAGGUCUUCGGAUCGUAAAACUCUGUUAUGAGGGAAGAACAGAUGUGUAAGGAACUGUGCACAGCUUGACGGUACCUAAUCAGAAAGCCACGGCUAACUACGUG
rnacentral:rRNA from 1 species